UUAAAUUGAAGAGUUUGAUCAUGGCUCAGAUUGAACGCUGGCGGCAGGCCUAACACAUGCAAGUCGAACGGUAACAGGAAGCAGCUUGCUGCUUUGCUGACGAGUGGCGGACGGGUGAGUAAUGUCUGGGAAACUGCCUGAUGGAGGGGGAUAACUACUGG
rnacentral:rRNA from 10 species